rnacentral:rRNA from 1 species
CGGGGUGAGUAAUGUCUGGGAAACUGCCUGAUGGAGGGGGAUAACUACUGGAAACGGUAGCUAAUACCGCAUAACGUCGCAAGACCAAAGAGGGGGACCUUCGGGCCUCUUGCCAUCGGAUGUGCCCAGAUGGGAUUAGCUAGUAGGUGGGGUAACGGCUCACCUAGGCGACGAUCACUAGCUGGUCUGAGAGGAUGACCAGCCACACUGGAACUGAGACACGGUCCAG